rnacentral:lncRNA from 1 species
AACAGUAACUGAUUUCCUUUAGAUUGUCCAACUUCUCUUUGUUGUGGAGUACACGUGUUAACCGCAGCCUCACGUGAUAUAACUAUGAAAUAGAGCUCUGUUUUCACCAAAGAACAGACCAAUUAGAAUACUUAUUUUCCAAAGUAUUGUAGUUCUAUUCAGAGGCACAGGAAGUUCACCUUAAUGUUCUCUGUAAUGUACUGUUUUAUGAUGUUUUUUCUUUACAGUUAGCUUUUGUUUUUUAGAGUUCAAUUAAUUUGUAUUGAAUGAAAUGACUUCAGGCAAGUCCUUUUGUAACAGUUUUUCAAAUGCCAUUUAUCCUGGUUUAUCAUGUUGUGUGUGUUUGUAAGUAUGAAUGUACUCUUUCUACUCAUUGACAAAGGAAUAGAAGUAGAAAAUAAUAAUGUUACUUACUAGUAAAAAUGAAAUGCUUAGAUUAGAAGUGUCUAUAAAAUUUGUCAGGCCUGACUGGGUACAAUUUUUUUUUUUAAUUUGCAGUGGUUUAUAUACAUGUUGCCAAUAAUAAGAUUUUGCGACUGGAUUACACAUGACGUUACUUGAACAGUGAAGGACAGAAUCACAAUUGCAGAAGACAUUUUCAUAAUCUGUUUCUACAGAGAUCACCCCUCAACCCUGUAGUGAUCUAAGACAGUGAAGGACAGGUGCUGAACGUUUGUUGGUUAAUGUAAAGAUAUAACUUUUCUGAAUUGUACUUUACUUUCUUCAUAGGACUGUAAAGAUGCUCUAGUCAACUUUCUAUCUUGCACGAUGUAGUAAAUGGUUCAAAUAUGUGUGUCAAAAUAUGUUGAGUUUGGAUUAAAAUGUUGAUCAGAUUUCACAUUCUAAAAUAAAUUCAUUUUAAUUAGGAAAUUACCCAUUGGUAACAUGACAAGGGAUGAAUUAAUCAGCAGAAGUCAACUGUAGAGUGUACAUAAAGUUUGUGUGCUAGCUAACAUUGUGACUUGUAGUUUAUAAACUGAAAUAAUCAGAUAUGUCUCUGGUCACAUUCCUGUUGCUAACAAAAUGAGAUACCCCUGAGAAAUCUGGCAUCUUUAUGUCUAAUUGCAUCGAUGCAAUUAUUACUGGGGAUUGAAAGAGUGCAUUUACCUAUCUUUCUCUCUGAUGGGGAAAAAAUCACACAGGUGUGAAGUUAAAGCUCUAAGGCUUUACUUAGUGGGGACCACAUUUGUCUCCCUGAACUAAGGCAGCAGGUUUCA